rnacentral:rRNA from 1 species
GAUGAACGCUGGCGGCGUGCCUAAUACAUGCAGGUCGAGCGAACAGACGAGGAGCUUGCUCCUCUGACGUUAGCGGCGGACGGGUGAGUAACACGUGGAUGACCUACCUAUAAGACUGGGAUAACUUCGGGAAACCGGAGCUAAUACCGGAUAAUAUAUUGAACCGCAUGGUUCAAUAGUGAAAGACGGUUUUGCUGUCACUUAUAGAUGGAUCCGCGCCGCAUUAGCUAGUUGGUAAGGUAACGGCUUACCAAGGCAACGAUGCGUAGCCGACCUGAGAGGGUGAUCGGCCACACUGGAACUGAGACACGGUCCAGACUCCUACGGGAGGCAGCAGUAGGGAAUCUUCCGCAAUGGGCGAAAGCCUGACGGAGCAACGCCGCGUGAGUGAUGAAGGUCUUCGGAUCGUAAAACUCUGUUAUUAGGGAAGAACAAAUGUGUAAGUAACUAUGCACGUCUUGACGGUACCUAAUCAGAAAGCCACGGCUAACUACGUG